UGCAUACUUUGAGACUGCAGA
rnacentral:miRNA from 1 species